ACGAACGCUGGCGGCGUGCCUAAUACAUGCAAGUAGAACGCUGAAGAGAGGAGCUUGCUCUUCUUGGAUGAGUUGCGAACGGGUGAGUAACGCGUAGGUAACCUGCCUUGUAGCGGGGGAUAACUAUUGGAAACGAUAGCUAAUACCGCAUAACAAUGGAUGACACAUGUCAUUUAUUUGAAAGGGGCAAUUGCUCCACUACAAGAUGGACCUGCGUUGUAUUAGCUAGUAGGUGAGGUAACGGCUCACCUAGGCGACGAUACAUAGCCGACCUGAGAGGGUGAUCGGCCACACUGGGACUGAGACACGGCCCAGACUCCUACGGGAGGCAGCAGUAGGGAAUCUUCGGCAAUGGGGGCAACCCUGACCGAGCAACGCCGCGUGAGUGAAGAAGGUUUUCGGAUCGUAAAGCUCUGUUGUAAGUCAAGAACGAGUGCGAGAGUGGAAAGUUCACACUGUGACGGUAGCUUACCAGAAAGGGACGGCUAACUACGUGCCAGCAGCCGCGGUAAUACGUAGGUCCCGA
rnacentral:rRNA from 1 species